rfam:Baumannia cicadellinicola str. Hc (Homalodisca coagulata), complete genome.
UAAUUGAAGAGUUUGAUCAUGGCUCAGAUUGAACGCUGGCGGUAAGCUUAACACAUGCAAGUCGAGCGGCAUCGAAAAGUUCUAUUUUAUAGAAUUUUGUCGGCGAGCGGCGAACGGGUGAGUAAUGUCUGGGGAUCUACCUAAUGGAGGGGGAUAACUACUGGAAACGGUAGCUAACACCGCAUAAUGUCGUAAGACCAAAAUGGGGGACUAUAUUAUAUAGUAUAGCCUCAUGCCAUUAGAUGAACCCAGAUGAGAUUAGCUAGUAGGUGAGAUAAUAGCUCACCUAGGCAACGAUCUCUAGCUGGUCUGAGAGGAUGACCAGCCACACUGGAACUGAGACACGGUCCAGACUCCUACGGGAGGCAGCAGUGGGGAAUCUUGCACAAUGGGGGAAACCCUGAUGCAGCUAUACCGCGUGUGUGAAGAAGGCCUUAGGGUUGUAAAGCACUUUCAAUGAGAAAGAAAGUUGUCUUCUUAAAAAGAAGAUAAUUUGACGUUACUCAUAAAAGAAGCACCGGCUAACUCCGUGCCAGCAGCCGCGGUAAUACGGAGGGUGCGAGCGUUAAUCGGAAUUACUGGGCGUAAAGCGUAUGCAGGUGGUUUGCUUAGUCAGAUGUGAAAGCCCCGGGCUUAACCUGGGAAUGGCAUUUGAAACUAGCUAGCUAGAGUAUCGUAAAGGGGAGGAGAAUUCCAGGUGUAGCGGUGAAAUGCGUAGAGAUCUGGAAGAAUACCAGUGGCGAAGGCGCCUCCCUAGACGAAAACUGACACUCAAGUACGAAAGCGUGGGGAGCAAACAGGAUUAGAUACCCUGGUAGUCCAUGCUGUAAACGAUGUCGAUUUGGAGGUUGUAACCUUUGAGUUAUAGCUUUCGAAGCUAACGCAUUAAAUCGACCGCCUGGGGAGUACGACCGCAAGGUUAAAACUCAAAUGAAUUGACGGGGGCCCGCACAAGCGGUGGAGCAUGUGGUUUAAUUCGAUACAACGCGAAGAACCUUACCUACUCUUGACAUCCAGAGAAUAAAGCAGAAAAGUUUUAGUGCCUACGGGAACUCUGAGACAGGUGCUGCAUGGCUGUCGUCAGCUCGUGUUGUGAAAUGUUGGGUUAAGUCCCGCAACGAGCGCAACCCUUAUGCUUUGUUGCCAACGACUCGGUCGGGAACUCAAAGGAAACUGCCGGUGAUAAACCGGAGGAAGGUGAGGAUAACGUCAAGUCAUCAUGGCCCUUACGAGUAGGGCUACACACGUGCUACAAUGGUGCAUACAAAGGGGAGCAAUCUCGCAAGAGCUAGCAAAACUCAUAAAGUGCGUCGUAGUCCGGAUUAGAGUCUGCAACUCGACUCUAUGAAGUCGGAAUCGCUAGUAAUCGUGAAUCAGAAUGUCACGGUGAAUACGUUCCCGGGCCUUGUACACACCGCCCGUCACACCAUGGGAGUGUGUUGCAAAAGAAGUAAGUAGCUUAACCUACGGGAGGGCGCUUACCACUUUGUGAUUCAUGACUGGGGUGAAGUCGUAACAAGGUAACCGUAGGGGAACCUGCGGUUGGAUCACCUCCUUA